GAUGAAGAACGUAGCAAAAUGCGAUACUUGGUGUGAAUUGCAGAAUCCCGUGAACCAUCGAGUUUUUGAACGCAAGUUGCGCCCGAAGCCUUUUGGCCGAGGGCACGUCUGCCUGGGCGUCACGCAUCGCGUCGCCCCCCACAAUUCUCCGUAAAGGGAACGUGUGUUUUGGGGGCGGAUAUUGGUCUCCCGUGCUCAUGGCGUGGUUGGCCGAAAUAGGAGUCCUUUCGAUGGACGCACGAACUAGUGGUGGUCGUAAAAACACUCGUCUUUUGUUUCGUGCUGUUGCUCGCAAGGUAAACUCUUUAAAAACCCCAAUGUGUCGUCUCUUGACGACGCUUCGACCGCGACCCCAGGUCAGGCGGGACUACCCGCUGAGUUUAAGCAUAUCAAUAAGCGGAGGA
rnacentral:misc_RNA from 1 species